GGGCCAGUGGCUCAGUGGUAGAGCACAGUCCUGAUAAGACUGGGGUCGGAGGUUCGAUCCCUCCCUGGCCCA
rnacentral:tRNA from 3 species